UAGCUCAGCGGUAGAGCAGCGGACUCAACUUGAAAUCAUUUGGUUGAGGCUGAGGCUGUUAACCCGUUGGUCGUAGGUUCGAAUCCUAC
rnacentral:tRNA from 1 species